rnacentral:rRNA from 1 species
GCCUAGCCCUAAACACAGACGGAACAUAACCCCCACCCGUUCGCCAGGAAACUACGAGUACCCGCUUGAAACCCAAAGGACUUGGCGGUGCUUUGGACUACCUAGAGGAGCCUGUUCUAGAAUCGAUAAUCCCCGCUCAACCCGACCCUCUCUAGUUUAUUCAGCCUGUAUACCUCCGUCGUAAUUUCACCCCAUGAGGGAGUAAUAGUUGGAGAAAUCGGCAUUUAAUUACCCCAGAACGUCAGGUCAAGGUGCAGCUCACGAGAAGGAAUGUAAUGGGCUACAUUUUCUGGCCCAGAAAAUACGAAUUUUGCUCUGAAAAGGGCAUCUGAAGGCGGAUUUAGAAGUAAGGGGGGAGAAAUAGAGCGCCCCCCUGAAUACGGUCCUGAAGCGCGUACAAACCGCCCGUCACCCUCUCCACGGCCACCCCCCCCCCCCCUAUAAAUAAUACGCCCCCGGCCACAAAGGAGAGGCAAGUCGUAACAAGGUAAGUGUAGCGGAAGCUGCACUUGGAAAC